GGAUGUGGAAUGUGGCUGGGAUAUCUGUCACCCCACUUAUCUCCAGGGUUGAUUCAGCUGUUGUGGCUGGCUAGGCAGAUGCCCCCUUGCUCCAUGUGAGUCCCUCUCAAGGCUACGCAUGGGGUUGGAUGAUAUUCCCCAAAAGAGGAGGAACUUCAAAGUUUUAGAAAUAGCUGAGUUCUCCUCUAGAACCUCUAAACAAGCACUCAAGAACUUUUGAAAGUUUUAACUGAGAUAAGGUAAGACUACAACUUUGCAAAUUCAGUGAAGCAGUUACAAAAAUAUUGAAUAGUUGAAACAUUUGCUUAAUUU
rnacentral:snRNA from 1 species